ACAAGUCGGCUCCUUUUGUGGAUAAAUUGACGAUAUCUGAAUGUUCAACUUGAAGUGGUCUUUGUGAGGACUGACAGAUUGAAAGCUCUUUCUUGAUUCGGUGGAUGGUGGUGCAUGGCAGUUGUUAGUUUGUGGAGCGAUUUUUCUGGUUGAUUCCGGUAACGAACGAAACUUUAACCUACUAAAUAAUAGACUGGUCCUCUGUGCCCGUUCAGGGCACGACUUCUAUUGCUUCUUUAUAGAGUAAUGUGGUUGGGAUCCGGCGGGUACGGUUUUUUACAGUUUCUACUUCUUAGAGGGAUAGACGGCACGUUGAAGUUGUACGAAAUUGAGCAAUAACAGGUCUGUGAUGCCCUUAGAUGUCUGAAGCCACACGUGCGCUACAAUGACGGUGCCAGCGAGUCUGGGAACCUGGCCCGAAAGGGUUGGGCAAACUGUUUCAUCACCGUCGUGACUGGGAUCGGGGCUUGCAAUUAUUCCCCGUGAACGAGGAAUUCCUGGUAAGUGCAAGUCAUAAGCUUGCGCUGAUUACGUCC
rnacentral:ncRNA from 1 species